rnacentral:rRNA from 1 species
GAUCCUGGCUCAGGACGAACGCUGGCGGCGUGCCUAAUACAUGCAAGUAGAACGCACAGUUUAUACCGUAGCUUGCUACACCAUAGACUGUGAGUUGCGAACGGGUGAGUAACGCGUAGGUAACCUGCCUGGUAGCGGGGGAUAACUAUUGGAAACGAUAGCUAAUACCGCAUAAUAUUAAUUAUUGCAUGAUAAUUGAUUAAAAGGUGCAAUUGCACCACUACCAGAUGG